UCAUUAUGUCACUGAGUUGAACGACGUUUUUAACAGGAACGGUUUCUUUCUUUUCGCUUUGGGGGCAAGUGAAAGACACACCUGUGAAGACCUUUUUGGAUGUUAUCUGUAAAUGGCUCAAUUUUGGGGCUCUUUUUAAAUUAAGUAUGUCUUAAAGUAUCAUUAAAAUAACAAUGCCGAGUGAUUAUUUCUUGAAUUCUUUUAAAUGCUGUUAUAGUAGAGUCAAAUCCGAUAGUCACGUGUAACGAAACUUUCUUUUUUGAAAAACCCUCAUGAUUGAGGGUUUUUUCUGUUUAUGCAAAAGUUUUAAGACUAGAAUGUUGACCUAAACUUAACUGAUUGUUUCUCAACGUGUUGAUUGUAUAUUGUCACUGAUCGCCAUGCCAAUACCAUGUUUAGCUCAAGUACCUGACUAAAACUAAGCAACACCUUUCGAAGUGACCACUUGGUUAAUCACCUAGUUCCAGUUGGAAAAUAUUUAAGGCCAGUUAUGAUUUUCUUAUAAUAUUAACAUUCUGUUUAAAAUCAUUAUUUACCCAAUAUUUGUUUGAAACUUGUAUUACUUUAAUAUUUAACUUUUGCCAAAAAUAAUUGAUAUUAUGGGGUAUAAAAAAUAAUAAAAAGGGUUUCAAUGCA